rnacentral:rRNA from 1 species
UCCCUUAGAUGUUCUGGGCCGCACGCGCGCUACACUGAUGCAUUCAACGAGUCUAAAACCUGGUCUGAUAGGGCUGGGUAAUCUUUUGAAUGUGCAUCGUGAUUGGGAUAGAUGAUUGCAAUUCUUCAUCUUCAACGAGGAAUGCCUAGUAAACGCAAGUCAUCAGCUUGCAUUGAUUACGUCCCUGCCCUUUGUACACACCGCCCGUCGCUCCUACCGAUUGAAUGUUCCGAUGAAUACCAUGGACUGAGAGUAUGAAUGGGUUCGCCUAUUUCUGCUUCUCGGGAAGUGGAGUAAAUCUUAACAUUUAGAGGAAGGAGAAGUCGUAACA